UUUCUGAACGACCACGAGGAGAGAGCUUCCCACUCACCUGGACUGCUCAUCUCAGAAUUGCUACAUGAGCGAAAAAGAAACUGAUAUCCUUUCCACUGCUGCGUUCUGGAAUCUCCUUGUCAGCCUGCUCUACCAAAUACACUGAGUAAGUAGGAGUUAGCCCUGUGAAAAGAGGGAGAGAAGACACUCCAAAGCACCCAGAUACAUGGUGCAGUCAAAAGAAAUCUGAAAUACGACUCUGGAAGUUUUAAAGUUCUAAGAAGGACUUUGAAGUAUUUGGGGACACAGGUUGUGUCCCAUCUUUUCAUCUAGCUGAUAACUGUGACUUUGGAAGAGAAAGGAGAGGAUAUUGGGAGUGAACAGCUGGUGAUGUUGAUGGUGUUGAAGAGGAUUUCAUUUCCUGGGCAAGAGCCCAAGAAACUAGAAUUGAGGCUACUGGCAAAGGAUGGAGAGCACCACAAAGACAGGGAAGAAUGUGUUUGGCAGGAGAUUUUCCAAUGGCAUCUAAGGGCACUUACAAAGAUUGUUAGGGGAUGCAUAGUGGACAGCUGUUGUUUUUGUCUCCUCAGCAUCCAUUGCCAUCUUCUUUUCACAGCCUCUCUAUCUUUGAAGGGAAACCAUUCAUCUUCUGCUCAUAAUCUAUGUGGCCACAGAGAAUUGUCACCAUCCUUUGUCUCCAAGGUUUAUACGUGGGACGCCUACCACAGCGUGGCUGCCAAGCAGUGCCAUGUCCGCACCCGGGAUCCGAACCAGCGAACCCCGGGCCACCGAGAAGCAGAACGUGCGAACUUAACCGCUGCGCCACCGGGCCGGCCCCCAAGACUGCUGUUAUUCUUAAGCAAAAAUAAAGACAACUGGAUCAGAACUUUAUUGAUGGCCUUACAUGUCUAUCUCCCAACGCAAAGGGUAUAGGGAACGAAUAAGGCAAGAUUUUCAAGUUAUUGAAGGAAGAAAAAUAUAAUUUCAUAAGCAUCACUGUCACAUGGAGAGGAUUCAUAACUAGAAAGUGACAAUGAGAGGAAGUAUGUUGUUCAAAAGAUGCAAACCUAAUGGAAACGGAAAAUUGUGUAGAAGCAUCUGCAGAGAAAGCCUGCCCAUCAACUGCAGAGCUUUUGGGUCAGGAAUAACAAGGAGAACCAGAGAAACAGACCCUACUCCACCCCCGGGGCCGGAGGAAGCUUCCAGAGGAUACUUUCCUAAUACCUAUCAGGAAGGCCACGAAACAGGGUUUUCCCGGGGAAUUCCGCUUAUCCAGACAUAAGUUGGG
rnacentral:lncRNA from 1 species